CCUACGGGUGGCAGCAGUAGGGAAUUUUCGGCAAUGGGCGAAAGCCUGACCGAGCAACGCCGCGUGAACGAAGAAGGUCUUCGGAUUGUAAAGUUCUGUUAUAGAGGAAGAAUGGUGUACGUAGGAAAUGGCGUACAAAUGACGGUACUCUGUGAGGAAGCCACGGCUAACUACGUGCCAGCAGCCGCGGUAAUACGGAGGAUUCGAGCGUUAUCCGGAUUUAUUGGGUUUAAAGGGUGCGUAGGCUGUCGGAUAAGUUAGAGGUCAAAUGUCGGGGCUUAACCCCGUGCCUGCCUCUGAUACUGUUCGACUAGAGAGCGGAUGCAGCAGGCGGAAUGAGUAGUGUAGCGGUGAAAUGCUUAGAUAUUACUCAGAACACCGAUUGCGCAGGCAGCUUGCUAAUCCGCAUCUGACGCUGAUGCACGAAAGCGUGGGUAGCGAACAGGAUUAGAUACCCCUGUAGUC
rnacentral:rRNA from 1 species